rnacentral:lncRNA from 1 species
CUGCCACAACCCUUCAAAUGUUUAUUAAAGUUUAUCCCCGUCUUACCUUCCUCUCCAUGAUAUAUGAGUUUAUUUAAUAGGAAAAUAAUUUUUUUCAGAGUCCCUGCUGUGAUGCCAUGGGAUCAGCAGCACCAGGACACAGGUUCGAUCCCAGGCCCGGCACAGUGGAUUAAGAAUUCAGUGUUGCCGGGUAAUUUGUCACUAUGGCUUGGAUCUGAUCCCUGGCCCAGGAAUUCCAUAUGCUGUGGGGUGGCCAAACAAAAGCAGUCCUUUUUUCCUUCCCAGAUCUUCAAACGGAUGUCGUUCCAGACGUACUGUCAGGGAGUUCCGUGUCUGGGAAUCACGGCAUUAAUUGUAGAAAACCUCUCAACAGUGAACACCUGACACCUUUAUCAAGGCCAACAAGUAGAUCUCCAUGCCACUGUAGAUGGUAUUAUGUGAUCACAUUAAUAUCUAUAAUAGAAGAAAAAAGUAGAAAAUGUUAGUAUCUAUCUUUGUCCUGGAAAGAAGAGGCUUACGCAAAAUUAAGAGAGCCAUUCUGGUACAUUCUCAUCCUUGAACUGCCCUCAGCCCUGGCUCUCCUCGUCCUGCCCCAUCCCCCUUCCGCAUGUGGCCUCCUCAGAGCUGUGCCUCCAGCCGAGCCUCCUAAGACUCAGUCGGCUUUGGCCCCUCGCAGCUCAAACGGGGUCUGAAGACACGGACAGAACACUGUAAACCAACUGUAAUGGAACAAAUAAAAAUCAUUCAUAAAAAAAGAUUAGCAUGUGUAAGAAGCAUUGCGGUGAAGUUGAGAUCAUGAAGACGGCUUUGCAGACUGGGAAGAAAAACGUGGUCUGGGUUCCCGCAGCAUCGGCAUCACCUGGGAGACCCCUCCCUGACUCUCUCUCUCCAGAUCCCAGAUCCGCUAACGGAGGCCCUGCGUUAGCACAGGAUCUCCAGGUAAUCUGCAUUCUCCUCCGUGUCUGAGAGAUGCAGCUCUGGCCCUCUCUCUCCCUCGUUCCUUGCAUGGCUAUUUAUUUGUAGCCAUUCUCUCCCAGCUGCCUCUGAAGAAAGAGUCUGCUAAACGCCUCGCUCCUAAGGCAUUCCUGAUAACAACCUAGCCUAAGAUAGACAUCUGACCUACCCUGCUUAUCCUAAAAGCCCCAACCCAAAUAUAGAAUAACUGGGUUAGGCUUUCUCCACCCUCAGACUGCUGAAGAAGGAAUAUUUGAGGAAGGAGAUUCGCUCUAAUGCUCGUCAAAUCGUACCAUGGAAAACAGUUUAAAGCAGUAGGAUGUGAACUCAGAAAAAGAUAAUAAAUAAAAAAUGGCGAAAGGCUAUAAAUAGGACAGACUGCUAAGAACUGUGUCUCUGAGGGAAAUCAGUUUCUUUAAACCCUAAGUCAUUUUCGCAAUGUCAGAUAAAAAGCAUAAUUACAACAUCUCAGGGAUACUAUUGUGAAAUUUGGCUUUCUGAUCUUGUUCCAGAAAGCAAACAUUUCUAGAGAAGGGAGCAAAGAUUUUUGUCAAUCUUGUAUUAAACACUCACGUCUGCUCAUGUAUUUUGUAAGGUGCUGUGGUUUUAUAACACUUGGACUUGAGAGGCGCAAAGUACAAAACUCUAAAAACAAAUCAAGCAAAUGAGAAAAGGCAAGUAUUUAUACCACAGAACUAUACUAAUCAUAAAUACUCCAGCCUGUGGGUCCAAAGCUCUAAACACACAGAGAGUUGACUCCUUGAAUGAUAAAAUUCUGCUACCCUGAAAGUCUAAUCUGGUGAUUUUUUUAUUGCAACCCAUGCCUUUUUCCAAACCAUUGAUAGACAGGGGCUUUUCACACUGACACCUAAUCUGGCUCCAUGAGACUGUGCAACACGGUGGGGUGUUGGACCAAAUGCGAAGAUGCUGAGGAAGAACAUUUGAAAUGUGAGUGCAAGUUUUAAAAAAGGAACCAGUGAUAAAACCAAGAUAAACAACCAAAGAGAAACAUGAAUCUCUCUCGUGCUGUGGAUAUGUAAGACAUUACUAUUGGAAGAGGCUGGAUGAAGAGCACAAGGGGUCUCUCUGUACUAUUUUUGCCACUUUCUAUGAGACUGCUAUUUCAAAACAAAAAUUUUUUGAAGUAUGGAUGUCACCUGGGACCCAGUCCUGAUGCUCAGAACUGGACAAGAGGCAGAGGAGCACAUAAGUAAGUGGCCCGAGACAGACUGGAUAACAGGGUACAAAGGACUCUGGUUGUGUGGAAGCCCGAGAGGUCCAAAUGGAAGAAUCUGAGAGACCCUCUCAGAGAAGGCAGGAUUUCCGCUGAGCCUUGAGUGAUGGGCAAUGCAUUAGGGGCGAGGAGGGAUGGGGGGUUCUUCCCAAGCCCAGGGAGCAAAGGAGGCCGUGAGAAAAUGCCGAGUAUGUUUGAGAACAACUAAUGGACCCAUGAAGCUGGCGAGUGGGACUUGGGAGGGGAGUGAGGGAAGAGACGCUUGGGAGAUGAGACUGGAAAGGAAGAUCAGGCCUUUUGGAUGCCAAGCUAGGGAAGUUGGACUGUACCAAAAUCUCUCUCUCUCUCUUUUUUUUUUUUUUUUUUUUUUUUUUUUUUUUUUUUUGUCUUUUCUAGGGCAGCACACGCAGCCUAUGGAGGUUGGAAGGAAGAACUGGGCCUGUGUGUUUAUCCAGGAAGAUCUCUCUUCUGGCAGAUGCGGCCCUCAAGCCCAUGACCCAAGAAGGGCA